GAUGAACGCUGGCGGCGUGCCUAAUACAUGCAAGUCGAGCGAACAGACGAGGAGCUUGCUCCUUUGACGUUAGCGGCGGACGGGUGAGUAACACGUGGGUAACCUACCUAUAAGACUGGGAUAACUUCGGGAAACCGGAGCUAAUACCGGAUAAUAUUUCGAACCGCAUGGUUCGAUAGUGAAAGAUGGCUUUGCUAUCACUUAUAGAUGGACCUGCGCCGUAUUAGCUAGUUGGUAAGGUAACGGCUUACCAAGGCAACGAUACGUAGCCGACCUGAGAGGGUGAUCGGCCACACUGGAACUGAGACACGGUCCAGACUCCUACGGGAGGCAGCAGUAGGGAAUCUUCCGCAAUGGGCGAAAGCCUGACGGAGCAACGCCGCGUGAGUGAUGAAGGUCUUCGGAUCGUAAAACUCUGUUAUUAGGGAAGAACAAACGUGUAAGUAACUGUGCACGUCUUGACGGUACCUAAUCAGAAAGCCACGGCUAACUACGUGCCAGCAGCCGCGGUAAUACGUAGGUGGCAAGCGUUAUCCGGAAUUAUUGGGCGUAAAGCGCGCGUAGGCGGUUUUUUAAGUCUGAUGUGAAAGCCCACGGCUCAACCGUGGAGGGUCAUUGGAAACUGGAAAACUUGAGUGCAGAAGAGGAAAGUGGAAUUCCAUGUGUAGCGGUGAAAUGCGCAGAGAUAUGGAGGAACACCAGUGGCGAAGGCGACUUUCUGGUCUGUAACUGACGCUGAUGUGCGAAAGCGUGGGGAUCAAACAGGAUUAGAUACCCUGGUAGUCCACGCCGUAAACGAUGAGUGCUAAGUGUUAGGGGGUUUCCGCCCCUUAGUGCUGCAGCUAACGCAUUAAGCACUCCGCCUGGGGAGUACGACCGCAAGGUUGAAACUC
rnacentral:rRNA from 1 species